ACCUACAGUGUGUUCUUUUUUAGAAAGGGAAUCAGUUAUUUUGUCACAUAAUUGUAGAAUAGCAUAAUCAGUAGAGUGGUUCUUUCUUUGAUGUUGCUGAUUGGAAGCUCUUUGGCUCAGGAACUGGAUCGACUCUGCUUGCCGAUGUUAAUUGUACGGGCGACGAGCCCUCAAUCAUGGACUGUCCGGUCCGUUCCUCCGGGAUUCCUUCCUCCUGCACCCACGAACAAGACGCCGAAGUCCAGUGUUUAGAGUACGAUUUUAACAGGAAAAUGGAGGAUUUGGAGUUUUAUGAAAAAGGAGACAUGACAGAAGAAGAAAAGGUGGCUGCUGAAGAACGAUCCAAUGACAAAAUGGAUUCUAACUUGAAGAAGAAAGAUAUCCUCCAGGCUCUAGCUGAUCUCCUGGCCGAACUCAAGGACAAAUAGAUAUUAUAAUGCAGCGGACACACUGAACUUGGGGCGGACUGGGAGCUAAGAUAUUAUAUAGAGGCUUUUUCUGCACGUUCGCUCGGCCGUUUAUUCAUACACGGUUGGGUUUGGCCGAGCUGAGACUACAGGUGGUGUCACUUCAUAUUGAAAGGUGUGACGCGUGAUCGUUACAGCCGAUUUGAAAAUUUCC